rnacentral:lncRNA from 1 species
CGCAGAGGCGCAGCGUAAGUGCGACUGUCGGGUCGUGCGGUGCGCAGGAGUAGACGAGCGCACGUGCAAGUAUGGCGUCGGCCUCAACGCCUGCGGCUGCUGCCAAGUUUGUCUACUUGGCCCUGGUGAGGCUUGUGGCCUAGACGCUAAAUGUGGCACGGGCCUCAAGUGCGUGAAAAGAAACCCUCGCGAUGCCACUGGAAUUUGCCAAAGAAGUCAUAGAGGAAAACGAGCCCUGCCCCAGGCGUGAGGUGGAAUUCACAGCGGGCAUCAUAAUCUGUUUAUAAUAAAUUUUGUCAUAAAUGAAGUUUUAUAAAAUAAGAAUAUUGCAUUUGUUUUUAUUGCUCUGUAACUUGGCCGGGCAGGAGUUUGUUCAUGGCUUCCUAGAAUUUGUUUUCUGCUAGGAAAAACUUGACAAGGCUUCCAGGGAUUCGCAGAAUUGUUUUUUUUCCUUCGUGGAAAACGUAAAGCGAACUUGAUUGCAUUUAAAGGAAGUUGUGUUGAUAACAAAGCAAUUAAUGAGAAUCAAUAUAAAAUAACAUGAACUGUUUUCCUAGUUGAAUCGUAAUUAGAUUCGUCAUUUAAUAUGUAGUAUGUAGUCAUUUGAUUUGUUUCUCGCAAAGAAAUGCUUCUUAUCGCUUGACAGAUUUUUUAAAUUAAAUAUGAAUCGAAAUAUUUAGGCUGGAUCACUUUCCAGCGUAAAGAAAAGCGAUCAGGUAUAAGGAUGGGUUAGGAAUAAGUGCUACAUUCUUUACAAUAGUACAUUUAUUUUAGAGAGCUCCUGUGUGGGAGUCACACCAAUUAAGGCGUAUUGCCUCUAUUGGCCACAAUUGUUUUGUAAUUGUACUCAGUGCGGGCCUUGUCCAUUCUGGCAAUUUAUAUAAUGAAAGUGUUGCUUAUUUUCAUUGAUUUUUGUUACCUCCACAUGGAAUUAUAUCACAAACUUUAAACUUUUCUAAUUUCUACCUGUGUAAGUUUUAAACUGAUUACCGUGAUUAGUCCGUUUCACGAAUGACUUUUUCCUGAAUUUGCAUUUGAAAAUGUUGAUUCAUUAUUUUGAAAAUGUUGAUUUUAUAAAGUAAAGUGCACAGA